AAUCAAAAUGUAGCCAGGUGCAUUGGGGAAAGCACUGACAUCGGCGUCAGACAGACUUAAGUUCAUAUCUGAUUCUGCUAUAUGACAACGUGUGGGCUAUGUGGCUAACUUCUCAGAGCUUCAGUUUUCCCAAGGGCAAAAUGAAAAUAAUAGAAAUAAUAGAAUCCACCUCACAGGGCUGUGGUGAGAAUUGGAUAUGAAGCACAUACAGCAUAUUACAUCAACUAAACACAUGCUAAACACAUGACAGAAUUGCUCUGUUGAAGUUUUGCAAGGUCAAAUGACUCACUUUGUCUAAUGGAAUGGGAACGAACAAUUUUUUUGUGUCACGUUUGAACAGAUAUCUUUGAGAAGUUUAUGAUUCUCCAAGUUCUCUUUCUCCUACUGUGGCACCUACUGACAAGAUAAAUGUGUAGAGGUUCCUGAGUCUAGGGGUGAGUCUUGCAUAUCUGAUGAAUCCACUAGUAAAAGUACCACUACUGAAAUCAUGCAAAUAUAUUUUUUGAGACCUUAUCAACCUUGGCAUGGAAUUAGAAGAGCAAAAAGCUGAGUUGAAUUGAUGAAAAGAAUCCCAAGUCAUUAAUUACUAAUGAUGGAGCUUGUAAAGUACAGCAUUACUGGAGAAAGCAACUGCCUUUCCUCAUACACAUCAUAUUUUUAU
rnacentral:antisense_RNA from 1 species